rnacentral:rRNA from 1 species
AAUAUUGGACACUGGGGGCAACCCUGAUCCAGCCAUGCCGCGUGAGUGAUGAAGGCCUUAGGGUUGUAAAGCUCUUUCAGUGGGGAAGAUAAUGACGGUACCCACACAAGACGCCUCGGCUAACUUCUUGCCAGCAGCCGCUGUAAUACGAAGGGGGCUAUCGUUGUUCGGAUUUACUGGGCGUAAAGAGCACGUAGGCGGAUUGGUCAGUUAGGGGUGAAAUCCCGGAGCUCAACUACGGAACUGCCUUUAAUACUGCCAGUCUAGAGUCCGAGAGAGGUGAGUGGAACUCCUAGUGUAGAGGUGGAAUUCGUAGAUAUUAGGAAGAACACCAGUGGCGAAGGCGGCUCACUGGCUCGGUACUGACGCUGAGGUGCGAAAGCGUGGGGAGCAAAC